AGACUCCACCGGUGGUUGCUUUCAUUCGGUUGGAUUGCAUGCCGUUGGCAGCAUGUUCUAUAUUCGUGUUGUUCCUGGUUCUGGUAGACAGAAGAAAGAGUUUGAGUGAAUGCAACUGUGCAGGCGAUAGACCGAGCAAUUUGAAGUGGUGAACGUGCUAUUAAAAUUAACCUGAGGAUAUUCGUAGUGCAUAUCUUGGUCGGAAGAAUUGUGAAUUGCAGUGCGUAUUGAAAGCAAAAUGAAUAGCACUAGGAUAGGAGUUCUUGUUGUUUUCAUGCUGAAUAUAUACUUUAAUCAUGCAGAAUCCACCUCCGGAUUGGAAAUUUCAAAGAAUACCCGUGACAAACGCGACUACUAUUAUAGCGAAAACGUAGGGAAUUAUUAUUCAAAUUUUAAUGAGCCUGAUAAUGCAAUAACGACUGUAUUGCCUCUAAUGGACACAGAUGGCACAUCUAAAGUGGCCAACGAUGUACCCACUGAUAACGAAGGUGAUGAUGGAGAUGACGAACUAGUUUCGCACUCGAUCGACGAUGGAAUCCAUUAUUUUCGCAGCGAUUCAUUAAACAAUCGAAUCAGGCCGUUUUCCAGCCCCAUCAUAGAAGAAAGGCCAAACCAUGAUUGGAGUGAAGAUGAUGAUACUGAUAGCCACUUGGACGUUCGCGGAAAAAAGUUUAUUUCCUUCUAUCCCUUAAGAUUGUAUCCAAAGCGAGCUCCUUCCGGUUUCCUUGGCUUGAGAGGCAAAAAAUAUUACUACAACGGUGUAAAGCGUGUACCGUCUGGAUUCACAGUAAUGCGAGGGAAAAAAUCUUUGUAUGACAUGAGCAGCAAUAUUAACGAUAACUCAAACGAGUAUGAAUCAACAAAUGAUGUAAAUUUCGACGAUUUGUUUCAAAAAGAAAGGGCAUUUCUUAAUGAACUGUAUAGAAUCCAUCGAAUAUAUCAAGAAAAUAAGAAUAAACCCUUGAAUUCUGCUGUGCAAUAUGCCGAGAAAAGAGCACCAUCGGGUUUUCUAGGAAUGCGAGGAAAAAAAGCUGAAGCUAGCAGUACAUAUUCUGAAAAGAAACGAGCACCUUCUGGAUUUCUUGGAUUACGUGGUAAACGAGAAAGUAUAGAUGAUUAUAUGGAAGGCAUAAAACGAAGCCCGCUCACCAGUUACUUUGGAACACGAGGGAAGAAAGAACCAUUGAGUUUUGUAUCGAAAGCUUCGGGAUAUUACGGAAGUCGAGGGAAAAAGUACAAAUACCUCGGUAGUUUUGUUGGCGUCAGGGGAAAAAGAUGUUCGGAAAUGACGAAUUCUACAAUCACCUAGACGCAAUUGACUGGCCAAAUAAUGAACAGCGACUCCAAAUUAAUCGAACGCCUCCUAAACGGGUGCCAAAUGGGUUUCUUGGAGUACGUGGAAAAAAAUGGACAGAUGCACUGUACGAUGAAUAAAAUGCUUCAAUCACUCUCAUAGUAUACUAUAUAGCUGUACCUAAGGAAUCAGAAGUGAAAUUACUUUGAAGUGAACUUGCUCAAUUAUUUAUAAUAAAACUUAAUUUUCCUUCAGCGCGACUUAUCAGAUAGUGCAAAAAAAAAAUCUCCAUAAAGACAAGUAAAGUGAACGAAUACACGAUCAGAUUUGGAUUGAGGAUAUACGAAGAAAAUAAUUAACGAUAGUAGUAAUAAACGAAGUUACAAAGAAAAUCAUUACUUCAUUAUUUCAUUCAAUAUUAAAAAUUAAACAGGUUUUAUUUUAUAUCACAAUAAAUAAAUAGAAUCGUUGUUAAAACAUACUGAUGUUAAAUUCGUAUCAUGGUAAAAAAAUUUCAAAAAAUAUUUCAAUACUUCUUAAGUGCAAGCAAUUAAUAUGGGAAUAAUUUGAGAGUAUCUGAAAUUCCCUACAAAUAUUUACAAUGUUCUUGUUAAGGUACGUCGAGUUCAACUUUGCUUUGAUAAGUAAUAUGUCCAGAGAUGUAAGACACCAAAAUAUGAUGAUAUCGAUGAAACUUGUUGCAGAAAAAUUGAUCUCUGAAACAUGAUUUUUCUGCAUUUUCAUCAAAAGAACCCAGCUAAGUAUUAGAAAAAAAUAUCGAAAUACCUAAAUCUAUUAAGAUGUAAAGUGAACACAGAAAACAAACAUCCAAGUCCAGUACCAAAACUAUGUAAGGAAUUAAAUGUUCAUUAGAAAUGGCAACACAAGUGGCAACAUCGCACUUCGCACUAUGGGCAAUUUCCAAGGCAAUUUCCAUACCAGCAGGCGGACAAAAAUAUUUUUAUUAUUUGUUUUCGUUUUCUGGGGUCUAUACUAUCGGAAUGUUUUGUUGAUGUUCUUUUUCAACAUUUCUAGAUUAACAUUUCAAAAGGGUGUAUAUACUUGUUGAUUUAAAAUAAAUUAGAAAUAAAACGAUGCGAACUUUAGUUUGAAAUCAAUUAAUUAUGGUUUGUUCUCAGUUUGUACAUAUGCCACUGAGAAAAUAUAUGAAAAUUUUUGCUAUAUUAGCUUAUGUUAGAACUUAAUCACUUUAGCUUUCUAGCAUACACCCAUUAUGAUUCAAAACUAUUGGGAUGUGUUCAAUUCAUCGCAAAUUAAAACAGUCUGUUAAAACAUUUUUAUUCGUGCUAUUUUAAUGUUUAACCUCUCUUAUGGAUGUGUUACAUUUCAGUUCUGUAUAAAAACCUAGUGUUUUAAUCUCUUUUUUUAUAGUUUUUUUUUAGUAACCUUUUCAGUGAUAUUUUGUAAACAAUGGGUUUUCUCUCGAAAAAAGUUUCAACAGUUGAUUUAGGAUAAACCGAAUUUUCCGGCAUUAAGUACACCCGAUUCUUUUUUUGCACGGGUUGUUAUUUUGCUAUAACUCAGUCAAUUUUAACCCGAUCCUCAUGAAAUGUUGUACACGGAAAGUUCUAACCGUACCUACAUGUGUACAAAAUUUCAUGAGAAUUAGUUAAAAAUUGACUGAGUUAUGGCAAAAACCAGACCCGUUCAAAAAGGAAUCUGGUGUAAACUUUUUCGUUCAACUUUGACAUUUCAUAUCUCAGAAACGCAAACUGUAAGAGACUUGAAGCUUUGGGCUUUUUUUAAUUGUAAUGUUUACUUUUGGCAAAAAAAAAUCUUUCAAAAAAAAAAUUGGCAAGGAUCUUGUUUUAUUUUCGUCCGCCUGAUAUUUUAUCGUGGUGGCGCUGCUAUCGCAAAGUUUGUUGUCGGUGGUAAAUAUUAAAUGGAUCUAAAUAUGCGUACUCACCGCUGACUGUAGCAAUUUACCGCAUAGGUAACGCUAGUGUUGCCAACGCUGAAAAAAAUGAAUCCAUACACAGCUUUCGAAAAAAAAAAAUCUAUAGGCUCGGAUGUUUGUUCUCUGUGCUGUAAAGGUUUAGUAUCGGUAACUAAUGCACGGUAACAGAAUUCGCUCAUUUUCGAGCUAAAGUGAGUAAAUUACACUUCCAGUGCUAGUACUGGCCCAAGUGCUAAAAUCUCAUCAGCUUAGACCAUAUAAUAUUCUAGAUAGUCAAAUUAUACGACUUAAGCUGCACACAGAAAAAAAGUUACUCUAAAAUGAGCAAGAUUCACACAAACUUAAUAUAAACUAGAAUAGCUAAAAAAGGAGUGAAUCGUAAUUCCAGCGCUAGCGUUGGGCAGUGCUAAAAUCCAAUCAGUUUAAGACGUAUAUUGUCUAUACGGUUGGAAUCAAGACAGACAUUCAAUCAAGAAUUGCCAUUUUCUUGGCCCACAAGUGUCGCAAUAUUUUCGCGACCAGUGCGCAGUGUUGCCAAUGACAAGGAGAUAGAUGCGCACCUGAGACGAGACUUGCGAAGACGGUCUUCUUUUUCUCCAGUUUGUUAUUUUUUUCUUCUUCCUAUCUGUGUUGACAUUAUGUUUUGGGCUGGUGGUUCAAACACGUACGUGACCGCAUCACCUCGCAUGCAGUGUGACUGAAUCCCAUUUACGCACAAAAUCAUGUUGAGGUGAAAUUUUGCAUCGCCAACCAUCGCCAAGCUAAGUAAUCAUUGGAGUAUUUUGUGUUCAAUUUAUUUUUGACACUACAGGAGAAGAAAAUGCUGCUCGGAGUGAAUUUUGGCUUCAGAAUUUACCGUCAAGGCGCCAUUCACCGUGGGGGCUCCAUUCACCGUGUGCCUUCGAAUAUUUUUUCAUUAUUUCUAUAUUAUGAUUCAAUGAUAUGAUAGCCCAUAUAAGGGCCCAUAUAGCCGAGGCGGUAAACGCACGGGUAUUCAGCAUGACCAUGCUGAGGGUGACGGGUUCGAUUCCCGGUCGGUCCAGGAUCUUUUCGUAAAGGAAAUUUCCUUGACUUCCUUGGGCAUAGAGUAUCUUCGUGCCUGCCACACGAUAUACACAUGCAAAAUGGUCAUUGGCAGAGGAAGCUCUCAGUUAAUAACUGUGGAAGUGCUCAUAGAACACUAAGCUGAGAAGCAGGCUUUGUCCCAGGAGGACGUUACGCCAAGAAGAGGAGGAGGAGGAUUCAAUGAUAUGACAAUUUCCCUUCAAUUUCACCAAUACAACACUAAUGUAUUGUUACCAUGUCAAAACGCUCAUUAAAAACAUUUAAAAGUAUCAUUUUGACAUUAAAGUGUGUUUACAUGAAGCGGGUUUCUGCUCGUUCUUUGCAUUCAUGGUGAAAAAACGAAAACUGCGCUAAGGUGAUUUAAGCGAUGAACUAAAUGUAGUAACGUUUUUAUUCCACCAAGAAGCAAUUAAAUUCACAUAGCAGGUAUGUAUUUUGCAUUACCGAAGUAAGUUUAACAAGAAAGUACGAUUACUCGUACUUUUUAAUUGAAACCAAACAGGCACGGUAAAUGGGUACCCUAAAAAUCAAUGGUCUCCAUUCACCGUGCCCCAUAUUGUCCCAUAUAUCUAGAAAAAACCGAAAAUUUGAAAAUUCGUUUUUUCAAUAAAAUCUUGCAAGUUAUUACUUGAAAUGAAUUUAAACGAAGAAAAUUCCCUUGGCUGGGCUGUUUUGAUCAUUUUUAAACAAAGUAGAAUAAAAUUUUUCAUACACGGUGAAUGGGUCCCUACUACCACGGUGAAUGGUGACCUACCACGGAAUUAGGCGACCCUACUACCCUUUACUAAUUGCACUAUAUCACCAAAUUUUGUGAAAAAUUUUCUACUUCUGUGAAUUUUACUUUAAUUUUAACCUAUAAUGAAGGCAAUUAAAAGCGGCACCAAUAAUGUUUAUAGGACUGGUGUCAAAUGACAGCCCUUAUUUGCCCCGAAUCCUCUUAAAUCCACGGUGAAUGGUGCCUUGACGGUAUCUCGAAUAGCAAUACUUUCCUCAUUUUAGGUAACGUAAUCAAACGGGCUACAACUGACAGCUCAGUUGAGCUACACUUGACCUUUUUUUCCUCUUCGCGAGUCUCAUCUCAGAUGCGCACUACUUCCAAACUGAUUCAGAAAACGUCGCGAGUCGGGUCGCGUCGCAACUCAGUUUACGACGUCCGGUUUGGUGGUCCGACAAUAAUAUUUUUGGCAUCGCAAACAAUAGAGGUAAUAAACUAUAGAGGAAGAAUGUCGCUGGCGUCGCUGCCGAAACAUCUCUUGCUGGCGGAGAUAGGUCGGGCUAUAAGUGUCAAAGCGAAAAAGUAUGCAGUUUGACAGAUAGAUACCCGACAUGUUUGCGAGCGAGAACAAAGGGAACAGCAGCGACAUUCGUCCUCUAUAGUUUAUUAACUCUAUUUCGCAAACAAUAUUAUAUUAUCAAGUUUAAACUGAUGAGAUUUUCGCACUUAGCCCAGCGCUAGCGCUGGAAGUGCAAUUGACUCAUUUUUUGCGUUGUCCCACUUUAGCUCGAAAAUGAGUGAAUCAAAGUGAGUAACAGAAUCCACUCAUGUUUGAGCGCAAGUGGGACAACACAAAAAAAUGAGUAAAUUGCAUUUCCAGUACCAGCGCUGGCCCAAGUGCAAAAAUUUCAUUAGUAUGCCGUAUAAUAUUCUUGACAAUGUCAAGAAUAAUGUACCGCCUCAACUGAUUGGAUUUUAACACUUAGCCCAGCGUUUGAAAUACAAUUCAUUAUUUAUUUUUUUUUUUUUUUUUUGAGCUGUUCUAGUUUAGCUCAGAUAUGUGUGAAGCUCUCUCAUUUAAGAGUAGGUUUUUUUAAGCGUGGGGAGACAUUAUUUAUGGUAAAAAUAAAGGUCGUACUUUGUACUCAUGGUGCUUAUUUUUCCGUUUUAAGUAUAUGUGUUUUGAAUAGAAAGAAGUAUCUUCACUAUUGUAACGAGCUGAUGCAAUGAUUGGGACAGACAAAAUUUUCACUUUUCAAAAAAUUUGAUGACCAUUUCAAAAAAUUCAAAAAAUGUCACAUUGUUACUGUAAGUUGGCCUAUCAGUUGUUAAUCAAUGGUCGAAAUUUGGGAAAGAUCGGGAUGAGUUCUACAUGAAAUUAGAAAGAUUCUAGAAAAAGGCGUAAUUAUCCGAUAGCCACACGAUCAGAAAAUUCAUUCAUUUUUGAGAUGAAAAAAAAAACACAAAACAUGAGUUAAUUGCAUUUCUAGCGCGAAAAUCCAAAUGCGAAAAUCUCAUCUGUUUAAGCGAUAGUGAUAAUGUAAAGAAUAUUUUAUGGCUUAAACUGAUUGGAUUUUCAUACUUAGGCCAGCGCUAGCGCUGGAAAUGCAAUUUACUAUUUAUUGUAAGCUCUUCCAUUUCAACUCAGAUUUGUGUGAAUCUCGCUCAUUUUCUAACUUUAUUUUAGCGUGCAACUUUAUCGCCAGAUUCAAUGAACCGAGUGCAAUGAAAUUUUUAACAUUCACGACUUAUAUCAUGAGCUGCGUUUUUGAUUAAGUGUUUUGUAAUAUAUAUCUCAGCCGUCUGUCAACCGAUUUGGGAUCUCUUAGCACCAAAUGAAAGCUAAAAUGGCCUAGUAGAACCCUUCUUCUUCUUCUUCUUCUUCUUCUUCUUCUUCUUUAUGGCUCUACGUUCCCACUGGGACUUGGCCUGCCUCGCUUCAACUUAGUGUUCUUGGAGCACUUCCACAGUUAUUCAUUGAAGGGCAUUCUUUGCCUGCCAUUGCAUGAAUUUGUAUAUUGUGAGGCAAGUACAAUGAUACACUAUGCCCAGGGAGUCGAGAAAAGUUUCCCAAGUGGAACGGUAAUCGAACCCGCCAUCUCCGGAUUGGCAAUCCAUAGCCUUAACCACUAGGCAAACUGGAGACCCAGUAGAACCCUAUAAGAUUUCAUUAUGAGUGGACAUUUGGUCUGUCAAUCGAUUUGGGAUCUCUUAGCACCUAAUGUCCUAGUAGAACCCUCUAAAACUUGACAACGAUUGGACAUUUGGUUAUCGAGAUAUCUUUCGAGGAGUACUUGAGAGUAAUACAACUAAACUUUUUGAGAUUUUUGACAAAGUGCGUCAUAAUAUAUUUCAGCCGUCCGUCAACCUGACAUGAAUGAAAGCUACAACAUCGUUGUAGAACACUUUGAAAUUUGAUUUCAAUUGGACAAUUAGUUAGCAGGAUUUAGAGAGGAUUUUGACUAGUUGUAUCAUUUUAAAUAUCACAGCUGUCUGUCAACCGAUUUGGGAUAUCUUAACACCAAAUGAAAGCUACAAUGUCCUACCCUACUAACAAAAGUAGCUGUAUAACAGCUUAUAGUAUAAACACCUUUGGAAGAAAGCUCUAUUAAACGCUUAUACAGCAAAAAUUUUAGUUGGGUAGUAAAACCCUAUUUAAUUUCAUUACAAUUGGACAUUUGGUCUCUGAGAUAUCUUUCGAAAAGUACUUGGGAGUGAUACUACUUAGUUUUUGAAAGAUUUUUGAUCAAAUGCUGCGUAGCGAACCACUUGGGCAGCGGCCGGUAUUUUGGGCACUCUGCGCUGUAACUCAGUCAAUUCUAAACCAAUUGACUUGAAAUUUUGUACACGGCUAGAUACUAUACAUAUCUCAUCGCGUUUCAAAAAUUGUGUCAAUUGGUUUAGAAUUGGCUGAGCUAUAGCAGAAAAGUGCCCAAAAUAGAACCCCUGCCGAGAUGGUUCCACUUCCCUAUAAUAAUAAAUAUCUUAGCUGUCUGUCAACUGAUUUAGAAUCUCUUUAUACUAAAUAAAAGCAACAACAUCCUAGUAGAAGCCUAUCAAAUUUUAUUACGAUUGAACAUUUGGUUACCGAGAUAUCUAUGGAAGUACUGGGAGCAAUACAGCUUCAUUAUUUGAGAGAUUUUUGACAAAUAAUAAAUUGAUAAUAAAUUGCUCAGCCGUAGGUCAACCGAUUUGAGUUCUUCUACCACCAAAUGAAAGCUACAACAUUCUAGUAGAACGCUCUUGAAUCUUAUUUGGAUUAACAUGUGGUUACUGAGAUGUCUUCCGAAAAGUACCUUCAAUAAAUUCCUUUUUUGUUAAUAUAUUUGCUUGCUAUCUAACAUGAGCUUUAAUAAUCAUGCAAAUAGCUCUAGGUCGAAUUGAAGAUCACUUACACAUCAUAUAUGUAAAUACUUAGGAAUAAAUAGGAAUUCUAUGAAAACUAACAAUAUGUUCAAUAAGAGCAAAUAAUUUAUAUGUUGUGGGAAAAAUGCAAGAACUGGACAAAAAUAUUUUUAAUAAACUUUGCAGAUUUAGAUCGCAAUAGUCAAAUAACUUACUAAGGCAAAAGCUGAUUAACAUAGUAGAUGUAUCAUUUUUGACGUUUUUAUACCUUAACCACCAAGAACUUCGGAGAUAAUUUAUUCAACUGAUUUUUUUAUCCGUUUGUUAAUCGAUUCAAGAUCUUUUGCCAGUUAACAAAUGAUAUAAUAUUGCACAAUAUGUUAGCUAUUUUUUGAGCAUUCCAUACAAGAUUCUAGAAGAAUCAUACAAAAUAAUUAUGUUAAACACGAAUAACGCAACCAUAAUUUCAAUAAGUGUAAGAAGGGUUCUUCAAUUUGUUACCAGAUAUUUUGUCACCUCCUUUCGAAACAUAUUUAAAUUCAAGUCAAUUUGAUGGAAUACAACUGAACUAUAAUUACCUUCUUCAAUAUUAAAUGUUGAAGUUUUGGCUAAAUUGAUGAUUUCUUAGAAAAAUAAUCUUAUCGCUAUAAAUUUCUAAACGCUCAAAUUUCAUUAAAUUCGUUUAAUGUUUCCGAAGGAAAACCGAAGGAAUCCGAAGGAGAUAUAACUGUUCAAAAUUGGCUAUUGGAUAUUAUGAACUAUAAACUUUUAUAUAUUUAUUAUAGUUAAAUUGUAAACUAGAAACUAAUUAUAAAAUAAACUGUAAAAAAGCCAGAUCUCUCCCAAAUUUAGACCAUUGAUAGAUUCUAGUUGACCAACUUUUAGUAAAAUUGAAGAUUUUUAGUACACUUUUCGGAAAAGUUACAGCGAGUUGACCAUGUUUUGAAAAGUGGAAAUUUUGCCUGUCCCGUUCGUUUUGUCUAUCCCCUGUAGAUGCACAUAAAGAAAAAUACAACUUCAUUCGUGUUUUCGGUUUUUGGUGGAAUCAUUAUUACAAUGUAUUGAGAACAUAUCACCAAACAAUUGUAAAUUAUGAAAACAGCGCUACCUGUAUAAUAUAAUACUAUGCAAAAUAGAUAUAAGUUGCAAAAUAAAGCUGGCUAACUGACUAACUAAAUAAGCCACGUGA